GGAAGACGGAGUUAUCUGAGAAAAGGUCUGCAUUAGGGAGAAAAUGGAGCCAUGUCUUUUCAAGAACCAGGGAACCAGACAGAUUAUUCUUCUAGCUCUGGCAUUUGAUACCUACAGAGCUCAUAUUUCAGCUUUUACCAAGGUUAUAGGAACGCCUAAAGCUGAGACCUUUGACUGCUGGAAUUGCAGAAAGGACACUGUGGAAGAAAGCAUAUUUGAAACUUCUUAGCUGAUGAUUGUUUAAACACCAUCUUCCAGCUGUUUCAUUUCUGGGUCUUUAGAAGAAAUAAACAACAUCUGCCCCUCUGUGCAUUAUUGGUUUAAAGAACUUUGUGUUUAUGAAAUAUGAUGUGCAUUAAAAAUGCAAAUUGUUUCUCACUUUGCAUUAAAAAAGAUUAAAAAUUAAUAAGAAUUCACUUACUAAUGUCAAGUCCCUUAUACAUUUUAAG
rnacentral:lncRNA from 1 species